rnacentral:rRNA from 1 species
AGAGCGAACGCUGGCGGCAGGCCUAACACAUGCAAGUCGAACGAACCCUUCGGGGUUAGUGGCAGACGGGUGAGUAACACGUGGGAACGUGCCUUUUGGUUCGGAACAACUCAGGGAAACUUGAGCUAAUACCGGAUAAGCCCCUAGGGGGAAAGAUUUAUCGCCAUUAGAGCGGCCCGCGUCUGAUUAGCUAGUUGGUGAGGUAAAGGCUCACCAAGGCUUCGAUCAGUAGCUGGUCUGAGAGGAUGAUCAGCCACACUGGGACUGAGACACGGCCCAGACUCCUACGGGAGCAGCAGUGGGAAUCUUGCGCAAUGGGCGAAAGCCUGACGCAGCCAUGCCGCGUGAAUGAUGAAGGUCUUAGGAUUGUAAAAUUCUUUACACCGGGGACGAUAAUGACGGUACCCGGAGAAGAAGCCCGCUAACUCGUGCCAGCAGCCGC